rnacentral:misc_RNA from 1 species
AACGCACGAGACCUGCGGACCUGCGGAGGGAUCAUUAGUAAAUGGAAAAGGAGUUCUCUCAACCCCUUUCCAAAUCCUGUAUUCACCCCAAGUUCCUAAAAAUUUUUACAAUAAAAAACUUGCAGAAAGACCAUCCACUAACGGAUGGCGUUUAAUGCAAAAAACGAAAACUUUCAACAAUGGAUCUCU